rnacentral:rRNA from 1 species
GAUGAACGCUAGCGGCAGGCCUAAUACAUGCAAGUCGAACGAGAUUAAGAGGCUUGCUUCUUAUGAAAGUGGCGCACGGGUGCGUAACGCGUAUGCAACCUACCUUAAUCAGGGGGAUAGCCCGAAGAAAUUCGGAUUAAGACCGCAUAAAAACACAGGAUAGCAUUAUCCAAUGUUCAAAUAUUUAUAGGAUUAAGAUGGGUAUGCGUGUCAUUAGCUAGUUGGCGGGGUAACGGCCCACCAAGGCGACGAUGACUAGGGGAUCUGAGAGGAUGACCCCCCACACUGGUACUGAGACACGGACCAGACUCCUACGGGAGGCAGCAGUAAGGAAUAUUGGUCAAUGGAGGGAACUCUGAACCAGCCAUGCCGCGUGCAGGAAGACAGCCCUCUGGGUCGUAAACUGCUUUUAGUCGGGAAUAAACCUUUCUACGUGUAGGAAGCUGAAUGUACCGAAGGAAUAAGGAUCGGCUAACUCCGUG